rnacentral:rRNA from 1 species
UACGAAGGGAGCUAGCGUUGUUCGGAAUCACUGGGCGUAAAGCGCACGUAGGCGGAUUUGUCAGUCAGGGGUGAAAUCCCGGGGCUCAACCUCGGAACUGCCUUUGAUACAGCAAGUCUUGAGUUCGAGAGAGGUGGGUGGAAUUCCUAGUGUAGAGGUGAAAUUCGUAGAUAUUCGGAAGAACACCAGUGGCGAAGGCGGCUCACUGGUCCGGUACUGACGCUGAGGUGCGAAAGCGUGGGGAGCAAACAGG